UUAUUUAAAUUAAGAAUAAUAAAAUUAAAUAUUAAAUGAAAACAUUAAAGAUAAAAAAUUUGGCGGUAAUUUAUAAUAUUAGAGGAAUUUGUUAAUUAAUUUGAUAAUCCACAAGUAGAAAUACUUAAUAAAUAUUUUAUAUAUUGUUGUUGAAAAUUUAUAUUAAGAGAUAGAUAACUUAAAAAUUAAAGGAUUUUUUAAUUCAAAUCAAAAUGUAGAAUUAUUAAGAUUUAAUGAAUUACAAUAAAAAAAAUUGGUAAAUAAAAAUUUUAAAGAUUUAUUUUAAAAGAAUUUAAAUGUAAAUUUAUAUAAAUUUAUAAAUUGAAUUUUAUUUAAAUUAUG
rnacentral:rRNA from 1 species